GGAUCUCCAAAGGGCCUCCUGCCUUGCU
rnacentral:piRNA from 1 species